UUUUUAUGAGAGUUUGAUCCUGGCUCAGGACGAACGCUGGCGGCGUGCCUAAUACAUGCAAGUCGAACGCUUCUUUUUCCACCGGAGCUUGCUCCACCGGAAAAAGAGGAG
rnacentral:rRNA from 1 species